rnacentral:misc_RNA from 1 species
GAAAUGCGAUAAGUAGUGUGAAUUGCAGAAUUCAGUGAAUCAUCGAAUCUUUGAACGCACAUUGCGCCCCUUGGUAUUCCAUGGGGCAUGCCUGUUCGAGCGUCAUUUGUACCCCCAAGCUCUGCUUGGUGUUGGGUGUUUGUCCCGUCUCCGCGCGUGGACUCGCCCCAAAGUGAUUGGCAGCCGGCGUACUGGUCCCGGAGCGCAGCACAUGUCGCGCAAACGAGUGCCUUGGUACGGCGGCGUCCAUAAGCCCCUCUCUCACGCUCUUGACCUCGGAUCAGGUAGGGAUACCCGCUGAACUUAAGC